UCGAGCGGAACGAUCCUAGCUUGCUAGGAGGCGUCGAGCGGCGGACGGGUGNGUAAUGCAUAGGAAUCUGCCCGGUAGUGGGGGAUAACUUGAGGAAACUCAAGCUAAUACCGCAUACGCCCUACGGGGGAAAGCAGGGGCUCUUCGGACCUUGCGCUAUCGGAUGAGCUUAUGUCGGAUUAGCUGGUUGGUGAGGUAACGGCUCACCAAGGCGACGAUCCGUAGCUGGUCUGAGAGGAUGAUCAGCCACAUCGGGACUGAGACACGGCCCGAACUCCUACGGGAGGCAGCAGUGGGGAAUAUUGGACAAUGGGGGCAACCCUGAUCCAGCCAUGCCGCGUGUGUGAAGAAGGCCCUCGGGUUGUAAAGCACUUUCAGCGAGGAAGAAUGCUUGUCGGUUAAUACCCGGCAAGGGAGACAUCACUCGCAGAAGAAGCACCGGCUAACUCCGUGCCAGCAGCCGCGGUAAUACGGAGGGUGCGAGCGUUAAUCGGAAUUACUGGGCGUAAAGCGUGCGUAGGCGGCUUGAUAAGCCGGUUGUGAAAGCCCCGGGCUCAACCUGGGAACGGCAUCCGGAACUGUUAGGCUAGAGUGCAGGAGAGGAAGGUAGAAUUCCCGGUGUAGCGGUGAAAUGCGUAGAGAUCGGGAGGAAUACCAGUGGGCGAAGGCGGCCUUCUGGACUGACACUGACGCUGAGGUACGAAAGCGUGGGUAGCAAACAGGAUUAGAUACCCUGGUAGUCCACGCCGUAACGAUGUCGACUAGCCGUUGGGGUCCUCGAGACNUUUGUGGCGCAGUUAACGCACUAANUCGACCGCCUGGGGANUACGGCCGCAAGGUUAAAACUCAAUGAAUUGACGGGGGCCCGCACAAGCGGUGGAAGCAUGUGG
rnacentral:rRNA from 1 species